AUUGAACGCUGGCGGCAUGCCUUACACAUGCAAGUCGAACGGCAGCACGGGAGCAAUCCUGGUGGCGAGUGGCGAACGGGUGAGUAAUACAUCUGAACGUGCCCAAUCGUGGGGGAUAACGCAGCGAAAGCUGUGCUAAUACCGCAUACGAUCUACGGAUGAAAGCAGGUGACCCCAAGGCCUUGCGCGUAUGGAGCGGCCGAUGGCUGAUUAGGUAGUUGGUGGGGUAAAGGCUCACCAAGCCAACGAUCUGUAGCUGGUCUGAGAGGACGACCCGCCACACUGGGACUGAGACACGGCCCAGACUCCUACGGGAGGCAGCAGUGGGGAAUUUUGGACAAGGGGCGAAAGCCUGAUCCAGCAAUGCCGCGUGCAGGAUGAAGGCCUUCGGGUUGUAAACUGCUGUUGUACGGAACGAAACGGACUUUUCUAACAAAGAGGGCUAAUGACGGUACCGGAAGAAUAAGCACCGGCUAACUACGUG
rnacentral:rRNA from 1 species